rnacentral:rRNA from 1 species
UACGUAGGGUGCAAGCGUUAAUCGGAAUUACUGGGCGUAAAGCGUGCGCAGGCGGUUUUGUAAGUUUGUCGUGAAAGCCCCGGGCUCAACCUGGGAAUUGCGAUGAAGACUGCAAGGCUUGAAUCUGGCAGAGGGGGGUAGAAUUCCACGUGUAGCAGUGAAAUGCGUAGAGAUGUGGAGGAACACCGAUGGCGAAGGCAGCCCCCUGGGUCAAGAUUGACGCUCAUGCACGAAAGCGUGGGUAGCAAACAGG